rnacentral:tRNA from 1 species
GUAAGGAUAGUUCAGUUGGAUAGAACGCUAGAUUGUGGAUCUAGUUGUCGAGGGUUCAAGUCCCUCUCCUUACCCCA